rnacentral:rRNA from 1 species
AUUGAACGCUGGCGGCAGGCCUAACACAUGCAAGUCGAGCGGAUGAAGGGAGCUUGCUCCUGGAUUCAGCGGCGGACGGGUGAGUAAUGCCUAGGAAUCUGCCUGGUAGUGGGGGAUAACGUCCGGAAACGGGCGCUAAUACCGCAUACGUCCUGAGGGAGAAAGUGGGGGAUCUUCGGACCUCACGCUAUCAGAUGAGCCUAGGUCGGAUUAGCUAGUUGGUGGGGUAAAGGCCUACCAAGGCGACGAUCCGUAACUGGUCUGAGAGGAUGAUCAGUCACACUGGAACUGAGGCACGGUCCAGACUCCUACGGGAGGCAGCAGUGGGGAAUAUUGGACAAUGGGCGAAAGCCUGAUCCAGCCAUGCCGCGUGUGUGAAGAAGGUCUUCGGAUUGUAAAGCACUUUAAGUUAGGAGGAAGGGCAGUAAGUUAAUACCUUGCUGUUUUGACGUUACCAACAGAAUAAGCACCGGCUAACUUCGUG